rnacentral:rRNA from 1 species
UACGUAGGUGGCAAGCGUUAUCCGGAAUUACUGGGCGUAAAGCGCACGCAGGCGGUCUUUUAAGUUUGACGUGAAAGCUCCCGGCUUAACUGGGAGAGGUCGUUGAAUACUGGAAGACUUGAGGCAAUGAGAGGGGUGUAGAAUUCCCGGUGUAGUGGUGGAAUGCGUAGAUAUCGGGGGGAACACCGAUGGCGAAGGCAGCUCGCUGGGACGGUACUGACGCUGAGACGCGAAAGCGUGGGGAGCAAACAGG